CACGGGUAGAGUAACGCGUAUGCAACCUACCAUCAGAGGGAAUAACCCGGCGAAAGCGGACAAUACCGCAUAAACAGGGCACCGCAUGGUGAUAUUGUUAAAGAAUUCGCUGAUAGAUGGGCAUGCGUUCCAUUAGGUAGUUGGUGAGGUAACGGCUCACCAAGCCGACGAUGGAUAGGGAACUGAGAGGUUGGUCCCCCACACUGGUACUGAGACACGGACCAGACUCCUACGGGAGGCAGCAGUGAGGAAUAUUGGUCAAUGGGCGGGAGCCUGAACCAGCCAAGUCGCGUGAAAAGGAAGAAGGAUCUAUGGUUCGUAAACUUCUUUUGCAGGGGAAUAAAGUGCAGGACGUGUCCUGUUUUGUAUGUACCCUGAGAAUAAGGAUCGGCUAACUCCGUGCCAGCCGCAGC
rnacentral:rRNA from 1 species